rnacentral:rRNA from 1 species
AUACUGAGGGUGCAAGCGUUAAUCGGAAUUACUGGGCGUAAAGCGCGCGUAGGCGGUUUAUCAAGUCAGAUGUGAAAGCCCUGGGCUCAACCUGGGAACUGCAUUUGAAACUGAUAAACUAGAGUUUGGUAGAGGGUGACGGAAUUCCAGGUGUAGCGGUGAAAUGCGUAGAUAUCUGGAGGAACAUCAGUGGCGAAGGCGGUUGCCUGGACCAAAACUGACGCUGAGGUGCGAAAGCGUGGGGAGCAAACAGGAUUAGAAACCCCGGUAGUCC